rnacentral:hammerhead_ribozyme from 1 species
AUCUAGCUGAGGAGUCCCAAAUAGGACGAAACGCGCGUCGUGGAU